UUCCUUUAAUUACCAUUUAUGUGACGCCCCCAAAAUAUGUUUACAUCACCCAUCUUGGGUCGCCAAAUACAUGGUACAUAAUUUAAAUACAAACUUAAUUUAUACAACUGAUAAGUGUCAUGUAGAAUACGACACAAUAUAAGUUGUGAGUUUUAAUACAAAUAUUGUCUUCUAGACAGUAUUCAAACUCAAAAAUAAGUCCUCAUUACAAUUAUUAUCACACUAUUUUAUAAAAUAGUGAGGACUACUAAUGCAAACAUCUGAACCGACACUCCAUUCCCCGACUAGUCUCAGCUAUAUU
rnacentral:lncRNA from 1 species